AUGAAGAACGUAGCGAAAUGCGAUACUUGGUGUGAAUUGCAGAAUCCCGUGAACCAUCGAGUCUUUGAACGCAAGUUGCGCCCGAAGCCAUUAGGCUAAAGGCACGUCUGCCUGGGCGUCACGC
rnacentral:rRNA from 4 species